GCGAGGGUGGCGGAAUUGGUAGACGCGCUGGAUUUAGGUUCCAGUGGAGUAAUUUCCGUGGGGGUUCGAGUCCCCCCUCUCGCA
rnacentral:tRNA from 2 species